rnacentral:lncRNA from 1 species
GUUUAUUCAGCAAGGCUGAAUUUAUUAAUGCAGAUUGGCUGUAAUUGUAUGCAGUGGUAAUUAACCAUCACUUUCCUGCAGCUUUGGGGGCACAUGCAAUGACAAACCUGUCAAGGAGGCACAGUGUGGUAGAAGAGCAAAUGCAGCUGUAACAACCUGACCGUUGAUUUGUUCCCUCUGUCCUGCACAGCUGGAGAUGAGCCACCACCUCUGCAGCCUGCACAGAAAACACCUGAGCAGCCCUGGUGUGUAGAGGAGCCCCAGAGCCCGUCCCAUGUCACCUCCCUAACCACGAGUGUCACCCCUGGCAGAAUUCAGAGCUGAAGAUGCUGAGCAGGAGGAGAAACCCCUGAGCCUGCGGCACGGCAGCGUGUGUGCCAGCCCUGCAGCACGGCAGCGUGUGUGCCAGCCCUGCAGCAUGGCCAGGUAAAAUCAGACUAUGCCCAUCUUGGAGGAGCCCUCCUCAGGGUGAGCCAGGACCGAGAUUUGGCUGUGAGGGGAAAACACCAGCUCCAAGCCAAGCUGGAGAACCUAGAGCAGGUCCUAAAGGUGUGUAUAAACCCUGGAUUGCAUUAGUGCUGAUCCCACGUGUGGGAUGAGAACUCCAGGUGCUGGCAGGAUCCCAACCCAGCACAGGGACAUCCAGACACCUUUAUCUGGCACUUUAUAAUUCACUGUGCUCUUAGUCAA